UAGAAUGAACACCAGCUCCCAGACAACUAGAGUAAAGUGUUUUAUGUAUACCAGCUCCAAGACAAGUAAAGUAGAAUGAACACCAGCUCCCAGACAACUAGAGUAAAGUGGUUAAUGUAUACCAGCUCCAAGACAAGUUAAGUAAAGUGAACACCAGCUCCCAGACAACUAAAGUAAAGUGUUUAAUGUAUACCAGCUCCAAGACAAGUAAAGUAAAGUGAACACCAGUUUCAAGACAACUAAAGUAAAGUGUUCAAUGUAUAUCAGCUCCAAGACAAGUAAAGUAAAGUGAAAACCAGCUCCCAGACAACUAAAGUAAAGUGUUCAAUAUAUACCAGCUCCAAGACAAGUAAAGUAAAGUGAAUACCAGCUCCCAGACAACUUUAACAUAACCGCCUCAAUAAAAAUAAUCUAUUGGAGCUUGAAGCCAAACCAAAUAUUUCUUCCCAUGUCUCUAAACCAUAGAAAUUUAUUAGAGACCUAUUUCACUACAUAAACUUAACAAAAAUAUAAAAUGUAUUUAUUUCUACUUAAUUCUGAUCAUAAAAAACUUUGUGCCUAAUUAUAAAGUUAGCAAAUGUGGCUGUUAUUAAUGACCAAUUAGUAACUGUUUGAUGACCAUUUUGCUCAAUUUUACUUAAUGGAAAACAUAAAUGUUAAUGCUAACGGUUGCACUUUUUUCUUGUGCUUAAAACUUAUACAAAAAAAACAUUCCAAAACUAUGAAAUCUCGUUUCUAGCAUUUUUGAAAAUCUUUUUGUUUUGCUAUGGAAAGAAACUGUUAAUGUUUACAUGUAUUUUUUCCAGUGUAAAAAGAAUCUAAACCCGUCCUUUAAUUAAAACAAUAAUUAAAUUACAUUAUAUUUAAAAUUAAUAAAAGAAUAAGUUUAAUAUAUUUUCUCUUAGAACACUUUUGUAAAUAUAACUUUGAUCGUUGUAACAGUAAAUAGUCCUUUCUAGUAAUUGUGAAUAAAUAAUAUCAAUUAUUUAAAAAUAUCAUAGUUACCACUACAAUGUGAAACUGGAAGACAAAUGAAUCUGAGAAACCUCAGUCCGAAAUAAUAUCUUAAAAUUCACACUUAUUUUUAUUUUCAAUGAAUUGUCAAUGUAUUUUCAACCACCUUUAUCUAUUGAAUUAGAGUAUCAUUUAACAAUCCACAACGCUAAGUACAUUCUUUUAUGAAAUAGAUUUUGUCAGAUUUCUUAGGCACCGAAUAAGCAAAAUAAUGGUUGAACUUUCAGUCAGGUAAAGAAAAUACAUUGUUGUGAAUUGUUGAUGGUACUCUCUUUACCUCAGCAAUUCUCAUAAUAUUUAAAUCAAUUCAAUAGUU